GGGAGAUCAGUGCACCUGCAUAUUUACUCUCCUGUUCCAUCCCUCUCUAUUUCACUCUCUAAUUAUUUCCUGUCAUUUAACUAAUUAGGUAAUUAUGCUAUUCAGUUAACAUUAAGUGGACAGCUAUUCUAUACUAGAAUAACAUUACAGCAAGUUCCUCAGGAGUUCAUGGUUUCUUGGGAAGAAAUAACUGUUGUCAUCUGAUAACAUUUUAGAAAUGAUUUUCUGUGCUCUGUGUAGAGCACUACAGGACCAUUUGCACAUAUAAUGGAUCUUUCUUUUCUGAGAAACAGUAUCAUCCUGAUGUUGCCAGUGCUAAAGAACUGUAGAAGACACCUCUCUUGGACAGAAGUUUUUGGACUCUUCCUUGCAGUCCAUCUGGACCACGGGCCUUUUGCAUCAUUUGCCACCAAGAAGGACCAAUGCUUCAUAUCAGACGGGAAAACAGCAUUAUCAAAGCUACCUCAAACAAACAUGGUCUGAUUCUUUGAAACACACCAUGAAUUAAUCAUGAAAUAUUAAUAAACAUAACACAGGUUGAGGUGCUCCACCUAAUCAUUGACAAUUAUCUCCAAUUUCAGAGGCUGGAAGAGACCUACAAAAGUGGCGCUAAUAUCACUAGCCAUUAUAGGUAGCUCAGGCAUGGAUUCUUGAGUGUACAUCUAACACAGCUCAUUGAAGAAAGUAGUGACUGGAGCUGAUGCUAUGUUCAAUAAGAGGCUAAUUUUUUAAAAAAGAGAACACACAUACUAUUUGAUUCAGAGAGUAAAGAUGGGACUUGUUUAUUAUAAAACAAAUACUUUAUAACAAAUUAUUCAAAUUACCAGGAUCUUAAAAACAUUCAAGUUAGAUAUGUUGGCAGCAUUCCUUGCAAUAUACCUCUGUAUAAAUUAAUGUAAGUAAAAAAUAAAUAUAAUGGCACACAUAUAAAC
rnacentral:lncRNA from 1 species